GAUGAGAACGCAGCGAAAUGCGAUAAGUAAUGUGAAUUGCAGAAUUCAGUGAAUCAUCGAAUCUUUGAACGCACAUUGCGCCCCUUGGUAUUCCGAGGGGCAUGCCUGUUCGAGCGUCAUUAUAACCCCUCAAGCUCAGCUUGGUGUUGGGGCCUGCCGCACGGGCAGCCCUUAAAAUCAGUGGCGGUGCCAUCUGGCUCUAAGCGUAGUAAUUCUUCUCGCUAUAGAGUCCCGGUGGAUGCUUGCCAUUAACCCCCAAUUUUCUAUGGUUGACCUCGGAUCAGGUAGGGAUACCCGCUGAACUUAAGCAUAUCAAUAAGCGGAGGA
rnacentral:misc_RNA from 1 species